rnacentral:lncRNA from 1 species
AUGUGGGCAUCAGGACUGGGCUACAACUGUUACCUGCUGUAUUGGGCUGCUGUUGUUCUCCUAGGAUUUGGACUUGGUUGGCACAAGCAAAGGGCUCACGGGGUGGUGCUGAGCUGUCGGCAGCAGUUGCUCCUGUGCACGUGCACUGUCUGCAAACUCUGCAGGUUCACCCCGAUGCCACAAGCACGUCUCCCUCCUGCCACCCUCCGUGUCCUGUGGAGCCCCGCGGCCUCUUCUGCGGCUUAGCCGUGGCCGCGUGGCUGCUAAUCCCAUCUCCUCGCCCCUCUGGGGGGGCUAAACUGUCUGACCUGCGACCCCCAGCUGGUCUGAGACCUCCAUCAAUCCUUCUGAAAAGUUUUACUGGAAUCAGGGCUUCCAAAUGACCCUUUGCAUAGUUUCUAAAAAAAAAAGAAAAAAAAAAAAAAGGAAAGAAAGAAAGAAAAAAGACCCAAGAAAAAUCCAGCCCUGUGCUGUUUUCUGUUGUUUUAGCAGAAACCAAACAUAACUCGUAAAAAACACAGGCAAGAA